rnacentral:lncRNA from 1 species
AUAACCGCAAGAUUAUUUAACUAGAUGAUUCUAUCAGUAAUACAUUCGAAUGCAUUUAUCCAUUUUCACUUUUUUCUUGUGAUUUUUCAAAUUCUUCAUGGGACAAUUGCAGAAAAAAGAUUACUGUUGAAUGAUCCUUCCGUGAUUGUAGAUCGCCUAGCUCGCCUAGAAAGUUCUAUAGCCUAUUUAAACACCACUGUUAAACAACA